rnacentral:rRNA from 1 species
GACGAACGCUGGCGGCGUGCUUAACACAUGCAAGUCGAACGGUGAAGGUGGGAGCUUGCUCCUGCUGGAUCAGUGGCGAACGGGUGAGUAACACGUGAGCAAUCUGCCCCGAACUCUGGGAUAAGCGCUGGAGACGGCGUCUAAUACCGGAUACGACGCGCGAGGGCAUCCUCUGCGCGUGGAAAGAAUUUCGGUUCGGGAUGAGCUCGCGGCCUAUCAGCUUGUUGGUGAGGUAAUGGCUCACCAAGGCGACGACGGGUAGCCGGCCUGAGAGGGUGACCGGCCACACUGGGACUGAGACACGGCCCAGACUCCUACGGGAGGCAGCAGUGGGGAAUAUUGCACAAUGGGCGCAAGCCUGAUGCAGCAACGCCGCGUGAGGGACGACGGCCUUCGGGUUGUAAACCUCUUUCAGCAGGGAAGAAGCGCAAGUGACGGUACCUGCAGAAGAAGCACCGGCUAACUACGUGCCAGCCGCCGCAGUAAGAC